AUACUUCCAAUUACUGCUUUCCAUCCUAGCUCCUGCUCCCUGCAAAGAUUAACUGAUUGACUCUGCUGAAGUCACAUAAGUGCUGAUAAUACCAAGAAUUUGGCCUGCACUUUAUCAGCAGCCUUCAAAUCUCAUUACCAGGUGUGAACACAGGCUCAGAGAAGCCCUGCUGUCACUGCAGCACGCUUAUUUUGAAGAUAAGUGUGAAUCAGCAUGCUGUUCUUAUAGGCAAAGAAGUAGCAGCAAGAAAUCUCAGACUAUGCAAGAGGAUCAUGACCUGGCAAUCAGAGGAUUUCUGCACUGAUCCAAGCCAGAAAAAUGCUACUUUGCUUGGUGGACACUUCCCAUGGAUUUCUUACACAUCCACAUCCAAGGAGUGGAUCUAUCUGUCACGCACACCAAGCUGCUAACGCCCGUGUGGUCUUGGUAGGAAAAUGCAAAGGAAAUCCAAAAGUGCUGGCCUUGACUCCCUUCCUCACUGUCCUUCCAUACCUGCUCUGCCUUGGCUUUGUGCCCUGCUCCCUCCCUAGCGCUCUUAUCUCCCACUGAACCUGAGAAACAAAUGCUUGUGGAAGCUAAGUCGUCCCCAGCUGUUCGCUCUGUUCCUGAGCUCCCUUCCUCCCUCUCAUUCCUUUUGGAUCUGUUUCUAAACUUUUUGGGGCAGCAACUACUUUUCUGCAUGCAACAUCAAUGGACACUGUUCUUGGCUGGCCUCAAGGCACAACUGGAAUAAAUGUGAAUAACAACAACAGUGACAAAAAGUAUCAACAUUGGUAAUGACAGUAAUAAUUAUUAUUGUUAUUAUUAUACAGUCAACCAGACUGACUUGGUAAUUAUUUGCAUAAUUUGUAUAUAUAAUUUGCAUAAGCAGAAUAAAAGACUGUUCUCAUAU
rnacentral:lncRNA from 7 species